UACGUAGGGGGCGAGCGUUAUCCGGAAUUACUGGGCGUAAAGGGUGCGUAGGCGGCCUUUUAAGUCAGAUGUGAAAGGCUACGGCUUAACCGUAGUUAGCAUUUGAAACUAAAAGGCUUGAGUGCAGGAGAGGAGAGUGGAAUUCCUAGUGUAGCGGUGAAAUGCGUAGAUAUUAGGAGGAACACCAGUGGCGAAGGCGACUCUCUGGACUGCAACUGACGCUGAGGCACGAAAGCGUGGGGAGCGAACA
rnacentral:rRNA from 1 species